GAUGAAGAACGUAGCGAAAUGCGAUAAGUAGUGUGAAUUGCAGAAUUCAGUGAAUCAUCGAAUCUUUGAACGCACAUUGCGCCCUUUGGUAUUCCUUAGGGCAUGCCUGUUCGAGCGUCAUUUAAACCUUCAAGCUAAGCUUGGUGUUGGGUGACUGUCCGCUUCACUGCGGACUCGCCUCAAAAUUAUUGGCGGCCGGUACAUUGGCUUCGAGCGCAGCAGAAACGCGAACUCGGGCCCGUCGUAUUGGCUCCCAGAAGCUAUCUUCACAAUUUUGACCUCGGAUCAGGUAGGGAUACCCGCUGAACUUAAGCAUAUCAAAUAGCGGAGGA
rnacentral:misc_RNA from 1 species